GAGACGGAGGCACGCUGAGCGGCGCCGGAAGUCUGAGGAAUUUCCCUUCAGAAUAAGGCCCUGCCGGAAACGACCUCUCCAACUACGGCCAGGCUGACAGCGGUCCCAUCCAGCUGAAGCCACAGCGCCCUGAGUUCAGUUUGUCCGGUGCGCACGGAGGACUCGGCGGGGUCAGAGAUCUGUGGCGCGCAGCGGGCUGUCGCCCCGAUUUCGACCGCAGCCCCCGGGCGGGAGGAGCGCUGAGCCGGGGAGGAGGCAGGAGGCAGGAGGUGCGCAUCUGGCUCUGCUGCCAGGACGCGAAUGACCAGGGGACAGACUCCGCAAAGGGAACAUCGCUGGAUAAGAUUUUAACGCUAAUGCCGAGAUGAAAGCGGCCAGCAGGCAAGUCCCCCCCGCGGCGGAGAAGCUCAACGGGGACAUGCAGCGGAGGCCGAGCUAUCCCGGGGAGCUGCGGGCCAAGCACGCCAACAUGUCAACUAAGAUUUGGGUAAAAGUGGCCAUGGCGAUCGCCUAUUUCUUCUGCGUGUCCGUGGCCGCGUUCAUCCUGGUGAUUUACUACGUGUUUUUCUGGACACCAGACCCGCCGCACAACAUCACGAGCAGCGGGGCAGCGAACCGCACCGACUGCUUCUCGGUUUUAGGAUGACUUUGCUGCACGUGCGCCACAUCUGCACACGUUAUGUGGGUGAGCGCACACGCGCACCUGACACGCGGCUGCACCAGCGGCGGAUGGAGAAACAUGACUGCAG
ensembl:lncRNA